UCCUCGAUGGUCUAGUGGCUAUGAUUUCCGCUUGUCAUUCCGCGAGGAAUACAAGCGCGGGAGACCGGGGUUCGAUUCCCCGUCGGGGAG
rnacentral:tRNA from 1 species